GCCAGACAUGUUGGCAUCCAUCUGCGGUCCUACCUACUUGGGAAGCUGAGGUGGCAGUACUGAUUGAGCCCAGGAGUUCUGGGUUGUAGUGCACUAUGCUGGUCGGGUGUCCACACUAAGUUCGGUAGCAAUAUGGUGACCUCCUAGGAAUGAGAGACCAUCAGGCUGCCUAAGAAGGGAUGAAACAGCCCAGUUCGGAAUGGAGCAGGUUCAAAACUUCAUGCUGAUCAAUAGUGGGAUCAUAUCUGUAAACAGCCACUGCACUCCAGCCUGGGCAACAUAGUGAGACCCCAUCUCUU
ensembl:misc_RNA Metazoa_SRP Metazoan signal recognition particle RNA